rnacentral:rRNA from 1 species
UACGUAGGGUGCAAGCGUUAAUCGGAAUUACUGGGCGUAAAGCGUGCGCAGGCGGUUUUGUAAGUCAGAUGGGAAAUCCCCGGGCUUAACCUGGGAACUGCGUUUGAAACUACAAGGCUAGAGUGUGGCAGAGGGGGGUGGAAUUCCACGUGUAGCAGUGAAGUGCGUAGAUAUCUGGAGGAACACCGGUGGCGAAGGCGGCGUCCUGGACCAACACUGACACUGAUGAGCGAAAGCCAGGGGAGCAAACGGG